UACGGAGGAUCCGAGCGUUAUCCGGAUUUAUUGGGUUUAAAGGGUGCGCAGGCGGGAGAUUAAGUCGGCGGUGAAAUUUUGCAGCUCAACUGUAAAAGUGCCUUCGAAACAGGUUUCCUUGAGUGUAGAUGAAGUAGGCGGAAUUUGUGGUGUAGCGGUGAAAUGCAUAGAUAUCACGAGGAACUCCGAUUGCGCAGGCAGCUUACUAAACUACUACUGACGCUCAGGCACGAAGGCGUGGGGAUCAAACAGGAUUAGAUACCCCUGUAGU
rnacentral:rRNA from 1 species